GGAAGAGUGAAAGGAAGACCAGUAUGUGAAGAUGACCGUGUGCUUGGAGACAGAGAACAAAAGCCCGCUGACCUGGACUGAAGAGAAAACACCUGGCCUAAAGCGACGUUUAAACUUCCAUUUCAGAUCUGGGUCCCCGGAGAAUAUGCCCAACGUAGGCAUCGAUAAGAAUAUUUUCCUGAAAGAUCAGAAUAUAUUUGUCCAGAAACUCCUGGGCCAGUUCUCGGAAGAGGAGCUGGCUGCCGAGAAGAAACGCAUCCUGCACUGCCUGUGGCUCGCAGGAGAGAUCCAGAAACACGGCUGCUCGAAGCAGUGAAGGGAAGGGGCAGUGCUGCUCUGCUCAGCAAAACCGGAGCCUGAUCUUUAUCGAGAGUUGACCUUUCUCUCUAUUCUUACCAUUAAACAUGU